rnacentral:rRNA from 1 species
AUUGAACGCUGGCGGCAUGCCUUACACAUGCAAGUCGAACGGUAACAGGUCUUCGGAUGCUGACGAGUGGCGAACGGGUGAGUAAUACAUCGGAACGUGCCUAGUAGUGGGGGAUAACUACUCGAAAGAGUGGCUAAUACCGCAUGAGAUCUACGGAUGAAAGCAGGGGAUCGCAAGACCUUGUGCUACUAGAGCGGCCGAUGGCAGGUUAGGUAGUUGGUGGGAUAAAAGCUUACCAAGCCGACGAUCUGUAGCUGGUCUGAGAGGACGAUCAGCCACACUGGGACUGAGACACGGCCCAGACUCCUACGGGAGGCAGCAGUGGGGAAUUUUGGACAAUGGGCGCAAGCCUGAUCCAGCAAUGCCGCGUGCAGGAUGAAGGCCUUCGGGUUGUAAACUGCUUUUGUACGGAACGAAAAGCCCUGGGUUAAUACCCUGGGGUCAUGACGGUACCGUAAGAAUAAGCACCGGCUGACUACGUGCCAGCCGCCGCCGUAAGAC